CAAUGGCGCAGUAUCCUAGUCGGUUCAACCGGAUUCGGGGAAGGGCCUAAAAAUCCUUUGAAGGGCACAUCUGUGAAACCUCUGGUGUCUGCUUCUUACGCCCAGUCUGGGGUGGAUGCUGGGGGAAGGCGUUAUGCCUGCGGCUUCAGGGCAGUCUUUAAUGGCAUAAAGAUCCAGACCCUGCUGCUGUGGAGACCGGAUAUUGUGCAGGAGCGUACUCCCCAUGUGGUAAGCGACUUCUGUACGAUACCGGAUAUGAACCUGCAUUGCGGUGCUACCCGGCUUUACGCCGUGAACGCUGUGUGCAGUGUAGCCUGCCUUGCGUGAACAGGUCGGGAAAGGGGAGCCAAGCGUCCGUCGCCAUGGCCUUGGCGUCAGGACGAUAUCUCCUUGAAAGUCUGUUUGCAAAAGAGGAUAAGAGCCGUGGAAGACCGCUGUGGAAAGCACCUAGGCUGUCUUAAAACGAGCAGAUAUGGGAUUGCGGUACGGACUAAGUGGCAAUCGGGUAACGGCAGCGGCAACGUACCGGCUUGCGCAUCAAAGGGAAACCGCCUUUCCGGCGACGGGAGGCUGCGCAUGGGGAAAACAAACCCGACCUAAGCCGUAAGAUUAAUCAUAUCUGCUGCCAUU
rnacentral:sRNA from 1 species